UACGUAGAGGGCGAGCGUUGUCCGGAGUUACUGGGCGUAAAGCGCACGCAGGCGGUGCUGCGCGUUUGGGGUUACAGCUCCCGGCUCAACCGGGAGAGCGCCUCGAAGACGGCAGCACUUGAGGGCCAGAGAGGGACACGGAACUCCGGGUGGAGUGGUGAAAUGCGUAGAUAUCCGGAAGAACACCAAAGGCGAAGGCAGUGUCCUGGCUGGUACCUGACGCUCAGGUGCGAAAGCUAGGGGAGCGAACGGG
rnacentral:rRNA from 1 species